ensembl:snoRNA SNORA53 small nucleolar RNA, H/ACA box 53
CACAUGCUUCCUUAGAUCCACCUUUGUGGAUGCCAAUCUUGAGCUGAGUUCUGCUUGUAAACUUACUGUUUCUUGUAGUUCCAGUCAAAGAAACAUCCAGCAACUUUUUUGGUUGUAUAGUCAAAGGUGCUUGAGUCAUUGGCAUGUGAGAUAAAUAUACCUGCAUGUUAGUCUUAGGUUCUGAUAGAAAUGACAUGCAGUGGUGCUGCCAUUUUGUUACUAUCAGGACUUGACUGGUGUGCGGACACU